UCAAAUAUUUUUCCAUUUCCACGGGUUAUGUGGAAAUAAAUUCCCAUUCCUUUUGCGUACACUUAAAGGAAUUAAUUACUACUUACUAGUGUUUUUUUUAUGUACGACGUGACAAGUUUACCAUUUCUUUGCAACAGUAAAAUUUUUCAACUAAAAUCAAUAUAGUAGAAUCAAAAAACGACCAGAAUAAUUUGCGGAAUAUCGAGUAUUGUAGCAUGACAUUGUGUAUUACGAUCAUGAUAGGAUAGGUGGAAAUGGCAGGAAGAUUAGCAUAGUUGGACUUCAUGCUCAAAUAUUCAAUUCAAACCAACAACGUGACUGUACAGGGACCGAGGAGGGGCGUGACGGAACUGCGCCACUUGAAAUAUCUCAGCAUGGGCGACUUGGAAUAGG